rnacentral:misc_RNA from 1 species
UUUCCGUUGGUGAACCAGCGGAAGGAUCAUUACAGAGAUCAUGCCCUCACGGGUAGACCUCCCACCCUGUGUUAUAUACUAUUGUUGCUUUGGCAGGCCGCCUUCGGGCUCCCGGCUUCGGCUGGGGUGCGCCUGCCAGAGGACCCCAACUCUGUGUUUAGUGUCGUCUGAGUACUAUAUAAUAAGUUAAAACUUUCAACAACGGAUCUCUUGGUUCUGGCAUCGAUGAAGAACGCAGC